rnacentral:rRNA from 1 species
GACGAACGCUGGCGGCAGGCCUAACACAUGCAAGUCGAACGAAGUCUUCGGACUUAGUGGCGGACGGGUGAGUAACACGUGGGAACGUACCUUUUGGUUCGGAACAACUCAGGGAAACUUGAGCUAAUACCGGAUGAGCCCUUAGGGGGAAAGAUUUAUCGCCGAAAGAGCGGCCCGCGUUAGAUUAGCUAGUUGGUGAGGUAAAGGCUCACCAAGGCUACGAUCUAUAGCUGGUCUGAGAGGAUGAUCAGCCACACUGGGACUGAGACACGGCCCAGACUCCUACGGGAGGCAGCAGUGGGGAAUCUUGCGCAAUGGGCGAAAGCCUGACGCAGCCAUGCCGCGUGAAUGAUGAAGGUCUUAGGAUUGUAAAAUUCUUUUACCAGGGACGAUAAUGACGGUACCUGGAGAAAAAGCCCCGGCUAACUUCGUGCCAGCAGCCGCCGUAAAAC